GAUGAACGCUGGCGGCGUGCCUAAUACAUGCAAGUCGAGCGAACAGAUGAGGAGCUUGCUCCUCUGACGUUAGCGGCGGACGGGUGAGUAACACGUGGAUAACCUACCUAUAAGACUGGGAUAACUUCGGGAAACCGGAGCUAAUACCGGAUAAUAUAUUGAACCGCAUGGUUCAAUAGUGAAAGACGGUUUUGCUGUCACUUAUAGAUGGAUCCGCGCCGCAUUAGCUAGUUGGUAAGGUAACGGCUUACCAAGGCAACGAUGCGUAGCCGACCUGAGAGGGUGAUCGGCCACACUGGAACUGAGACACGGUCCAGACUCCUACGGGAGGCAGCAGUAGGGAAUCGUCCGCAAUGGGCGAAAGCUUGACGGAGCAAAGCCGCGUGAGUGAUGAAGGGCUUCGGAUCGUAAAACUCUGUUAUUAGGGAAGAACAAAUGUGUAAGUAACUAUGCACGUCUUGAAGGUACCUAAUCAGAAAGCCACGGCUAAAUACGUG
rnacentral:rRNA from 1 species